GCAAGUCGAACGGUAACAGAGAAGAGCUUGCUCUUUUGCUGACGAGUGGCGCACGGGUGCGUAACGCGUAUACAAUCUACCUUUUACAGGGGGAUAGCCUUUAGAAAUGAAGAUUAAUACCCCAUAGUAUCCUACUAUCGCAUGGUAGAAGGAUUAAAAUUUCGGUGGUAAAAGAUGAGUAUGCGUUCUAUUAGCUAGAUGGUGUGGUAACGGCACACCAUGGCAACGAUAGAUAGGGGCCCUGAGAGGGGGAUCCCCCACACUGGUACUGAGACACGGACCAGACUCCUACGGGAGGCAGCAGUGAGGAAUAUUGGACAAUGGGCGAGAGCCUGAUCCAGCCAUGCCGCGUGCAGGAAGACUGCCCUAUGGGUUGUAAACUGCUUUUAUAUAGGAAGAAACCUAUCCACGUGUGGAUAGCUGACGGUACUAUAAGAAUAAGGAUCGGCUAACUCCGUGCCAGCAGCCGCGGUAAUACGGAGGAUCCAAGCGUUAUCCGGAAUCAUUGGGUUUAAAGGGUCCGUAGGUGGAUAAUUAAGUCAGAGGUGAAAUCCUGCAGCUCAACUGUAGAAUUGCCUUUGAUACUGGUUAUCUUGAAUUAUUGUGAAGUGGUUAGAAUAUGUAGUGUAGCGGUGAAAUGCAUAGAUAUUACAUAGAAUACCAAUUGCGAAGGCAGAUCACUAACAAUAUAUUGGCACUGAUGGACGAAAGCGUGGGGAGCGAACAGGAUUAGAUACCCUGGUAGUCCACGCCGUAAACGAUGGUCACUAGCUGUUCGAACUUCGGUUUGAGUGGCUAAGAGAAAUUGAUAAGUGACCCACCUGGGGAGUAC
rnacentral:rRNA from 1 species